rnacentral:rRNA from 1 species
CCUACGGGGGGCAGCAGUGAGGAAUAUUGGUCAAUGGACGCGAGUCUGAACCAGCCAAGUAGCGUGAAGGAUGACUGCCCUACGGGUUGUAAACUUCUUUUAUAUAGGAAUAAAAUGUUCCACGUGUGGGUUUUUGUAUGUACCUUAUGAAUAAGGAUCGGCUAACUCCGUGCCAGCAGCCGCGGUAAUACGGAGGAUCCGAGCGUUAUCCGGAUUUAUUGGGUUUAAAGGGAGCGUAGGUGGGUUGUUAAGUCAGUUGUGAAAGUUUGCGGCUCAACCGUAAAAUUGCAGUUGAUACUGGCAGUCUUGAGUACAGUAGAGGUGGGCGGAAUUCGUGGUGUAGCGGUGAAAUGCUUAGAUAUCACGAAGAACUCCGAUUGCGAAGGCAGCUCACUAAACUGCAACUGACACUGAGGCUCGAAAGUGUGGGUAUCAAACAGGAUUAGAUACCCCAGUAGUC